rnacentral:tRNA from 1 species
UCGGAUAUGGUGUAAGGGUAACAUCGCCGUCUUUCAAGAGGCAGAUCGAGGUUCGAGUCCUUGUGUCCGAA